rnacentral:rRNA from 1 species
AUUGAACGCUGGCGGAAUGCUUUACACAUGCAAGUCGAACGGCAGCACGGACUUCGGUCUGGUGGCGAGUGGCGAACGGGUGAGUAAUAUAUCGGAACGUGCCCAGUCGUGGGGGAUAACGUAGUGAAAAUUACGCUAAUACCGCAUACGAUCUACGGAUGAAAGCGGGGGAUCGCAAGACCUCGCGCGAUUGGAGCGGCCGAUAUCAGAUUAGGUAGUUGGUGGGGUAAAGGCUCACCAAGCCAACGAUCUGUAGCUGGUCUGAGAGGACGACCAGCCACACUGGGACUGAGACACGGCCCAGACUCCUACGGGAGGCAGCAGUGGGGAAUUUUGGACAAUGGACGCAAGUCUGAUCCAGCCAUUCCGCGUGCAGGACGAAGGCCUUCGGGUUGUAAACUGCUUUUGUACAGAACGAAAAGGUUUCUAUUAAUACUAGGAGCUCAUGACGGUACUGUAAGAAUAAGCACCGGCUAACUACGUGCCAGCCGCCGCCGUAA